rnacentral:rRNA from 1 species
GAAGGGGGCUACGUUGCUCGGAAUCACUGGGCGUAAAGGGUGCGUAGGCGGGUCUUUAAGUCAGGGGUGAAAUCCUGGAGCUCAACUCCAGAACUGCCUUUGAUACUGAGGAUCUUGAGUCCGGAAGAGGUGAGUGGAACUGCGAGUGUAGAGGUGAAAUUCGUAGAUAUUCGCAAGAACACCAGUGGCGAAGGCGGCUCACUGGUCCGGUACUGACGCUGAGGCACGAAAGCGUGGGGAGCAAACAGGAUUAGAUACCCUGGUAGUCAAGGGCG